rnacentral:rRNA from 1 species
UACGUAGGGUGCAAGCGUUGUCCGGAAUUAUUGGGCGUAAAGAGCUCGUAGGCGGUCUGUCGCGUCGGUCGUGAAAACCUGCAGCUUAACUGUGGGCUUGCGGUCGAUACGGGCAUGACUGGAGUUCGGCAGGGGAGACUGGAAUUCCUGGUGUAGCGGUGAAAUGCGCAGAUAUCGGGAGGAACACCAGUGGCGAAGGCGGGUCUCUGGGCCGAUACUGACGCUGAGGAGCGAAAGCGUGGGGAGCGAACAGG